rnacentral:lncRNA from 1 species
GGAGAAAGCUUUCUCUUAGUUUGGAAUAUGUCCCGUUGUGUUCCUUAGAAGGGUAUAAUUCUAUUUUUUCCCAGGUGGCCUUAUUCAAGCUGCCUAAUGAAAAAUACGGCAUGCCACGUUAUUUCGCUACCAAACAAGGCGUCAAAUCUUCCAGGGGAUACAAUGGAUGGACCCACGUUCUGCAAGGAAUACUACCGAAAACCGAGAUACGUGAAUUCUACUUACUUAAAGCUGGAUUCCGACCUCAAACAGUGCCUGUUCCGCUGUUUGGUAGAGUACACCAAACCUAAGGGGAAAAUGGAGAACCGCACUUCAUUUGCAAUGGAUGGCACGCCCUGCUCUGAAUCUGAGCCACUCAAGAUAUGCCACAAUAUGAAGUGCGUUAGCCCCUAGCGCAAUAAUAAGCUUACAUG